rnacentral:rRNA from 1 species
UAGAUGCGAGAGUAGAGCAUAUCAAUAAGCGGAGGAAAAGAAACUAACAAGGAUUCCCUUAGUAACGGCGAGUGAAGCGGGAAGAGCUCAAAUUUGAAAUCUUCAAGGUUCUACCUUGACGAAUUGUAGUUUAAAGAAGUGUUUUCUGUUGGAGUUUUGGUAAAAGUUCUUUGGAAUAGGACAUCAUAGAGGGUGAGAAUCCCGUAUUUGAUCAUUCUUUCUAGCUGUGUGAUACACUUUCAACGAGUCGGAUUGUUUGGGAAUGCAGUCCAAAAUGGGUGGUAAAUUUCAUCUAAAGCUAAUUAUUGGCGAGAGACCGAUAGCGAACAAGUACCGUGAGGGAAAGAUGAAAAGAACUUUGAAAAGAGAGUUAAACAGUACGUGAAAUUGUCAAAAGGGAAGCGUUUGACACCAGUGUUGUUUAGUUGAAAAUCAAUUCAAUAGUUUUUGAUUUUAAGUAGUAUUGACUUCAUCAGCUUGCUGCUUUCUUUCAGAAAUUAUUGAAUGCACUUUUCAGUUAACAAGUCAGCAUCAAUUUCUUUUGUUGUAAAAGGGUAAGAGGAAGGUGGCUUACGCUUCGGCGUAAGUGUUUAUAGCCUUUUACCUCUGCAAUCGGAGAGAUUGAGGACAGCAGCGUAGACUCUUCGGGGUUAGAUACACUUGUGCUAAGCUAUAGCCUUGUAUAGACAACUUGUUGACUAUGCUCAGUCAUGUAGCUUACUCGCUUGUGCUAUUUUACCUACGCUUAGGAUGUUGACGCGCGUGUGUGCGUG